rnacentral:rRNA from 1 species
GACGAACGCUGGCGGCGUGCCUAAUACAUGCAAGUAGAACGCUGAAGCGAGGAGCUUCCUCUUCUUGGAUGAGUUGCGAACGGGUGAGUAACGCGUAGGUAACCUGCCUUGUAGCGGGGGAUAACUAUUGGAAACGAUAGCUAAUACCGCAUAACAAUGGAUGACACAUGUCAUUUAUUUGAAAGGGGCAAUUGCUCCACUACAAGGUGGACCUGCGUUGUAUUAGCUAGUAGGUGAGGUAAUGGCUCACCUAGGCGACGAUACAUAGCCGACCUGAGAGGGUGAUCGGCCACACUGGGACUGAGACACGGCCCAGACUCCUACGGGAGGCAGCAGUAGGGAAUCUUCGGCAAUGGGGGCAACCCUGACCGAGCAACGCCGCGUGAGUGAAGAAGGUUUUCGGAUCGUAAAGCUCUGUUGUAAGUCAAGAACGGGUGUGAGAGUGGAAAGUUCACACUGUGACGGUAGCUUACCAGAAAGGGACGGCUAACUACGUG